rnacentral:rRNA from 1 species
UGAACGCUGGCGGCGUGCCUAACACAUGCAAGUCGAACGAGAAAUUCCGACUUCGGUCGGGAGAGUAAAGUGGCGCACGGGUGAGUAACGCGUGGGUAACCUGCCCUCGAAUCUGGGAUAACUUCGCGAAAGCGUUGCUAAUACCGGAUAUCGUCCUUGGAGCCGUGGCUUCUUGGAUGAAAGGUAACCUCUUCAUGAAAGUUGCCGUUCGGGGAGGGGCUCGCGUACCAUUAGCUUGUUGGUGGGGUAAUGGCCUACCAAGGCUACGAUGGUUAGCUGGUCUGAGAGGAUGAUCAGCCACACUGGAACUGAAACACGGUCCAGACUCCUACGGGAGGCAGCAGUGAGGAAUUUUGCGCAAUGGGGGAAACCCUGACGCAGCAACGCCGCGUGAGUGAAGAAGGCUUUCGGGUCGUAAAGCUCUGUCGGAUGGGAAAAAAGUCUCAUGGUCAAUAGCCAUGGGAUUUGAUGGUACCAUUAGAGGAAGCACCGGCUAACUCC